GUGCCUGGCACCUCAGGCAGGCAAAAAACAUUUGAUGAAAAAGUAAAUGAAUGAAAUGAACAAAUGACCAAAUGGUAAGUAAUUCCCAGGCCUGAAGCAAAGAACUCAGGUGCCCUGUGCCACACGGCAAAUGUCACCCCUGGCUGCUUUACUCACAUGCUACCCAGGAAACCUGACUCCUACCGUGAGUUACUGGCAAGAUUCAUUUCUUGAAUUGUAAUAUCAUGUCUCUAAGAGUCUUCUAUUAAACUGUAAGUACUUCUGGGGCACCUGGGUGGCUUAGACAGUUAAGCAUCCGACUUCAGCUCAAGUCAUGAUGUCACAGUUCAUGAGUUCAAGCCCUGUGUCGGGCUCUGUGCUGACAGCUCAGAGCCUGGAGCCUGCUUUGGAUUCUGUGUCUCCCUCUCUCUCUGCCCCUCCCCUGCUCACUUCUGUCUGUGUCUCAAAAAUAUAUAAACAUUAAAAAACAUUUUUUUAAACUGUAGGUACUUCUGAAAGGGAGAACAUCAUACAUGAAUUAAUUACUAGCCAUUAACACUUUGGGAUAUACUAAAGUGAUACAUAAACAUCAUUUUAUAUAUAACAGAUCCAAACUAAAAUACAGCUCGCAUGGUUGGAGCAUUCGGAACAUGCCGGUCAUAGUGCAAGGUACUUUACACAUGGUACUAAUUGCCAAAUAUUUCCAGCUCUCUGCCUUCCUGGCACUCAUGGGAAUAGCACUUCCCAGGUCUUUUGUGGUGGGUAGCACCAUGUGACUGGUUCCAAACAGACAUAAAUGGGCCUGUUACCCAUUUACAGGGCUAAUGAGAGACCCCUCAGAACUCUCUUUUCCUUUCAGCUCAGCUGCCUUCAAUAUGGGACCUGCCUUAGCCUGAAUCCCUGAGUGAUGUGAUGAACACAGGACCUGCCCACCCCCACCCCCAUCCCCAGUGUCUGUACAGUGAUCUUCUGGGGUAAUCUGUGCUAUCAUUUCUUUACAGGUAAAGAAGGGGCUGUGUGUUAUUAAAGGAUUUUCACAAGAUUUCAUGGCUGGCAAGUGAUGGAGCCACAAAGGGAACCAGAUUCAUUGGUGAGGAAGCCAGCACAUGUACAGAGAUGUCUCACAGUGCCCCGGCCCUGUGCUGAGGGCACCCUGAUGACUCCAACACUCAAGCCCCUGUUUUCAAGGAUCUGCCACUGCCCAGUCAAUCCCCCUCCCCUUCCAUUGUUCCUACAGGGAAUGAUCACUACUGCUGAAGAUAAUUGCUCAACUGUUUGCGCUGAGAGUUAGGGAGGGUCAAAUCUCCACUGCUCCAUGUACUCUUUGUAUCCUUUAUACAAACUACAUGGAAGUGACAGAAAAUUCUGAAGGUCUGGAUCACCUAAGAACAAAACUGGAAUGCUUGGGAGGCAGGAGCCUCCUGCCCAAAAUUUUUCACCCACUGCUAGCAUGGUACCUAAAUUUUCUACCAUUAGAAAUUUAUUCCUUUGGGUUUAAAGCAGAUUUCUCCUCUUGCCUAGAACUUUCCCAGACUAUUGUAUAAAAUCUUCUUUUGUCAUACGUCCAAAUGACUACCCUAACAACUCCUAACAACUAUCUCAACAUUGAGAUCUUGUAGAAAUAGCCCAAGGAACCCGGCAACAUAAGGAAUGGCUGUACUUCCAGGUGCUAAAUACUUCAGUUUUGAGAAUUAAAAUGUUCCUUAUGGCCUUCUCCUUUUAAUUUCCCUUUUCCCAACAGAACUCAAGUAGAGGGUUUGUUGGUAUUGUUUGUUUGCCACUGGUGUUGACGAGGGGCAGAAUGCCAUCUUCUCAUGAGGACUAAAUUGAUGAGAAUUCUCAUUGUGCUGUACAGAACCCAAAUAACCCACACCACUAUCCAUCACAAACUCUGUGGAUUCCCGAAGUUUGGACUGAAAUUG